rnacentral:lncRNA from 1 species
CUUCAAGACAGAGAAGUCUUGGUCAGUUUACUGGUAGGAGCCAAGUAUGGGAUGAGUCAGGUCAUCAAUCACAAGCUUAAUGUGAUCUCCACGCUGGUGGAGUUCAGCAGCAUCAGCCGGGUGGAGUUACUGUCGGAGUCGGACAAAGUCAGCCUACUCCGUAUUUCUCUGCAUGACAUGAAGGUAGGGGACACAUGGAGAUACUAAGCUCUGUCACUUCUAGACAUAUAGACACUGACACAGAUAUGAAAAGUGGAUAAUCACUCACCACACUGUAUUUGUGCCUAAGCUCAUGCUAGAGUAAAUUUAGGUCACGCAUUCUUUCCCCUCACUCACAUACAAUAUACAACAGUAUGCAGCCUAAGGCCGUGUGUGUUAGCAAUAUAAUGCUAAUUCGCUGUCUCAAAGGUGACUGUCUAUCCUUUUUUCUCCCACUCUGUCGCCUUCCCCUUUCCAUCCUUACCCUUUGAUUUUAAUCACUACUGCUUUACCUUAUCUUCUGCCCUCCCCCUCUCAGCCAUUUGCCUUACUGAUGGACUCUAUGGCAGCCAAAGACUUAGGGUGUCUGCUGGGAGGCUACUGCAAACUCCUGGUGGAUCCAAGUGUUAAUGUCUUCCGUCUGGGGCGCCCAAAAGUGAGGGUGCACCGGAUUCCUGCUGAAGAAGGUUAUGUGUCCCGCUGCUGCAGUGACUCGGAUGACUCAACAGAUGAAGAUGAUCCAAUGGAUUCUCAGAUAAACAAGCACCCUGAUCCAGCAAGUCAGGACUGGGAGGAGAGGAGAAGAGAAGAGGAAGAGAAGAGGAGGGAGGAAGAGAGAAAAGAAAGAGAGGAGCACAAAGGCAAACAGGAAGUAAAGAUAAUAGUGACCACAGAAGGUAGAGAAAAUGAGAGCGAAGAGGAAGUGGGAGCAACAGGAUGUGGGGGUCUGCGUAAAUUCAGUGUUAUGGAUGAAGAAAUGAACCUUGAGACCACCUGGUACCACACUGAUCCUCGGGUCACCAGCAGCUUCUCCAGCCUGUCCAGUGGUUCUUUGAGCGCUGCCUUGGAAGAGAGCAGUGCAGCAGCCAAAUCUACGUCACGUCUUCGUGGAUCAUGCACAGGCGAGGAUCUUCCCAGUUUGGAUGUUCACCACCCCUACCUCCUAGAGCCAAAACUGAGCCAAGGGCCUCUGCGACCCACCAACCUCAAUUACAAAGGCAAUGACAACUCCUGCCUUUGCUUUGCUGACCUCUCCAAGGCUGAUUUCCUGCCUAGCCCACCUGAGGCCACUAGUGAUGAUGAUGAUGAUGAUGAUGACGAUGAGGAGGAAGAGCAUGGAAUGGAGGAAUUCAGACGCAUUUCCAAGAUCCCUAGUUCGAGGGAUUUGAGAAUGAUUGAUACCACACCUUUUCAAAGAUUACCCAUUAAAGGAAAGAAAAAGGUCCCCCCUAAAGUCCCGAUUAGGACAAGUUCAAUUCCUGUUAACAAAGCUGGACAGGCUGAGCACCGCCUGUCUAAGGACGAAGACGCUCUAUUCCUGACACCAUCACCUAACCCCAAACCAGCUCUUCUGGUCAAAGACAAUGUCUCGGAGUCUGAGGAUGAGUUUUUUGAUGCACAGGAGAGAUUUACUCCACCAGUUCCUGAUUUGUCAGGUUUGUAUGUAAUAGCAACAUGGCAACACCCAGACACUGUGAUUAAAAAGGUUGUUUGGUUUAGUAAGAUGUGUUUUAAAUUUUUUUCUCUCACAGAUGCUGAACUGGCUGACCAACAGAAUGCUAAUCGUUUGAGUGGAACCUCGAAUGGUCUUCCAGCUAGCACAGGGAAGGAGCAACCAUUACCACUUGCCAAUAAAGCCCAACCCUGUAAAAUCAAGGCAGAGAAGCCUAAAAGCCCCUCAAAUCAACACAUCAGCCAACAACCCAGUCCUUCAAAGUCAUCCCAAAAACCCGAAGUUAAAGUCAAACCACCACUGGCACCUAAGCCCCAGCUUCCUCCCAAACCUCAGAUCAUUCCACCCAAGUCCCCUCAGCAUGGGAGAUCAUAUGCCCAGUGCAACGGGGAUGCAUCUGGACGUUUGUCUUCUGAACUACUGGAAAUGGAGCCAGACACUAUGGAGGUCAAGUCUGUCACAUCAGGUGGAUUUCCUCUGUCAUCAUCCCUGAUCACAGCUGUGCGGUGUAGGAAGCAGCCACAACCCACCACAACACCACAAGCUGAAGAAAAGACAAAAAGACAAGAGAACAGUCCAAAGCAGAAUAAAGAUCUUGCACAUGGAAACAGUGUGCAUGUGGUUUCCAAAGACAAAGCAUGCAUCCCAGAUGAAAAGGAAACUCUUAAAGUUGAGGGGAAAAGCAAUGGGACUGGCCUGCCAACAAAAAAGCCACCGAACCUUCCUCCUAUCCCUCGCUCCAAUUCAGGUACAAAGCUUGCAACCCCCCCUCCAGUGCCUCCCAAACCCACUUCUCCCAGUCUUCACCCUUUAACCUUACCUGCCAGCUCCCCUGUCUCCCCUACUGACCCAAACAAAGGGAUCUUUAAGGAUGGCAUUAGUCCACCAAAUGGAAUUCUUCCUUGGAGUAGCCGGAAUGGCAGCAUCCGGUCAGGACCUAGGAGGGUCUCUCAGAGCCAUGAGAGCCUCUCACCCAAAAAUACUGAUGCACCGCUUACUCUUACCACCUCUCUCACCUCCACCAAUUCUAAAGGUGUCGGGGGCCUAGAAAGCAGAGAGCCUGGAAGAUCAGGGUCAGGAUCCGACUUGAGAACCAGCUCCUCCAGCCUUGGAGGACGACUCCCAGCCUCAGCCUUGAGGGGAAAGAUCCAGGCUCUACCUUGGUACAUGACCCGUUCCCAGGAGAUUCUAGGAACUCUGGACUAUCCCUCAACUAGCUCCAUCAAUGGAGACACAUCUGGCUUUGGCUCUGGUUUGUCUGUAGCCAGUGGUUUAUCAGAUUUAAACAAAACCCCUGUGAAGGACAAAGAGACAGUUGCCCCAAAAUUGGGAAGUAAAGGAAACAUUUUAGAUGACGGAGCUGAGGUUGUUAUAGCAACCAUCAAAGAGGCCCAGGAUGUAACUUUGCACAUGAAAAAGGCCAAUGGCAUGAAUGGCUCACACCCUAAUCUAAAUUUUAGAGAAAACAGUGCACACAGUGGCAGUGUGUCGUCAGAGCAGCCUCAGUCAUGGUCUCAUUCAGCUCUGGGGUUGGGAGGUGUGACAAGCAUGCAAAUUGAAGGUGACUCACCAACCUCCUCAAUGGCAGACAGCACACCUCCACAGGAACACCGGGAGUCUUGUGGCUGCCGCACUGUUUACACCAACUGUUUCAGUGGUGACACUGAGGACUGUGUCAGCUUUGAUGAGGAGCUCACUGUGUAUGAGUUCUCCCGCCGAAUACGCCCCAAACCUGCCCGACCAGCACCCGCCACUCCUCCGACUCCUUCAACUCCUCCAACACUCCCCCAAAAACCAAACAUACUGUCACUGCUGAAGGACAACCCUCGCCCUCUGUCUACUUUUUCUACUGCCUCCUCUGAACUCAGUCCUGUAGUUUCAUGUCCAGUUUCACCCACAACCUCGCUUGGUGGUCCUCUUCGUUCACUCACAAACAAAAACUAUGGUGGGCUGAGGGGAGGGUUUGCAUCUCUACGUCAGGAUAUAGAUCAGCUUCUUCUGGUCUUAGAACAGGGACCACUUGAACAAACAACAACAAACUCGCAACAAACAUCAUGUAAAGACUCAAAGCAGGGGAGGACAGGUGUAAAAGCAGAGCCAGACCUGAAUCACAAUGGAACUGAAGACAGUACCACCCCAACACACAGCCUGAAUUGUACCAGGAUGAGCCUUACCCUUAUGACAGAGGCUGAAAGGAGUCUUCUCCAGGCAGAGGCUCGACGGCUUGCAUCUGGGUGUCAGCGGGCCACACGUGUCGGCUGGGCACCUGAUGAAGCCCUGCGUUCUUUAUCCAACAGUUUCAGUGCCCUAGUUCAGCUGUCAGCAGCCUGCCUGCGAACAAACCCGUGCCCUGGUUGUGACAUCUGCCACAACGCUAGUCUGGCCCACAGGGAUGCGGACGAUGAUAGCCAGGAGGCCAUGGACAAGCUAAAGGAGAUAGUGGGUCUGUACCGGGAGUUUGUUGGGGCAGUUGAAACUGCUGGAACUGGUGGUGGAGCUGGGGUUAAGAGUGUGAGCCUCACAGGGUCUGGACAGGGUCAGGGGGAGGGUGAUGGGGUGAGGCUACUAGCUAAACGCUGCACCGUGCUCAUCUCCUCUGUAUUCGCGCUCACGCAGCUCUUCCGGACACGCACACUAGAACAGUCUGACACGCCAGGCCACAUACCGCUCAACUUUUGACCUGUGAACUUUUACCCACUGACUUCAGAGGUGAGACAUGAGGAAACAGCACAGAGAUGACUGAUGUGUAACUCCUGUGUACUUGUACAGUAAGUGCCAUGCACACACCACAUCACACACACACCCACAUGGAAACACUAAACAACAAGGUGGAACUCGCAUUGCUCGGCCUCUCCUUGGACGCAUAUGGACUAUGCAUUUGUACAUAUGGAUUUUAUAAUUAUGUCAUAUUUCCCUUAUUUUAUUAUACGAUAUGUGUAUGUAUGUACGGAUGGAUUCCCAUGUAUGUAUUUAUGUAUUUAUUUUUACAAUAUUUGCACCACAAUCUGUGACACACAGGUCUUAUAGGAAGAAAAAAAAUAACUACAGAUGUCACUGGAAUUCUUAUUUUUUCCUUCUCUUUGAGACAGUAUUAUGUUUUUUUUCUGCUGCUUUAAAGAUUUCUCCACUCCACAAGGUGUAAUCUGUAAAUUGUCAUUUUUUUCAAGGUUAUUAUUAUUAUUAUUACAGUAUGUUUACUGAAAGAAAUACAGAAAAAUACUUUAUCACACUUGUGAAAUGUACUGAUUUGUUUUAUAUGUGCAGAGUUUGCACCUUUUUAAGGAUUUAGUUUUUCAACAUUACUGUCACAUGUAAAUGGGAUACAAAAAUAUACCAUUACACAGCAGGGAGAGCACUUUUGACUGUUACAGAUUGCACCUUUUUACGAGACACAUACCCUUGUGUAAAGUGUUUUUUCUACCCAUUCCCGGUCCAAUGCUUCUUGGAAAUACUCCCAUAACCCCAACAUAUGCAGUAUUAUAAUAUUAGUCUAGUUUUCAUCCAAAGGACACUAUGGUACAUAUUUAUUUUCUGGGAAUGUGUGUGUGUGUGGGGCCCAGGCAGCAACACAGGGGACCUUAUUUAUGUAUUUUGACUAGGCAUAAGAGUGACUGUUAAAUUCUGUCCAGAUGUAGCAAAGAUCCAAAGUCUUAAAUCACUGAGCCACACUGCUAUGGUUUCCUCUUUCGGGCACACCACUCUAAUGAUGACAUGUUGACUGACAGAUGGACUGACUGCUGUAUGCUGGGGUCAGAACUGUAGAUAUAUAUAUUUAUAUCUCUGUUAGUUUAUGGCUAUGCAAACAUAAACUCCCCCCCUGUAGACCUUUUUUUUGUGCUGACAUUAAAAACAAUAGCUGCAUUAUGUUUGUUUGGAUAUAAUGGGUGCUUUCUUUGUUUGGAAUGUUGGCUUUUGUCUUGUUUUCUUGCAUUAUGGAGAGCAAUGUUCUGCAAAGUUGCAUGGCAUUAAGCAUUUGUCAAUAUAGAGACUCCUGUCUAUACUGAUGUAUGUGAAUUGUCAGUAAAAGGAUUGCAUUGCUCGAUCAGUUCGCUGAUGUACAGUGUUCACUAAUCAGCACAUCCCAUAUAUCACAUGCUGCCAGCUCACUUGACGAGCCAUCCGAUUUGAAGGAUUUACUUGAGCCACCUACGACAACAGUGAGGUAAUUACGCCAAAUCAGUCAGCAGAUGCUUAUACAAAUAUAAUAAGUGGGAUUAGCUGAAAUAAAGACUGCUCAAGUGUUCA